GACGAAGGGGGCUAGCGUUGUUCGGAAUUACUGGGCGUAAAGCGCGCGUAGGCGGCUUUCAAGUCAGAAGUGAAAGCCCCGGGCUCAACCCGGGAAUAGCUUUGAUACUGUUGAGCUCGAGUCCGGGAGAGGAUAGUGGAAUUCCCAGUGUAGAGGUGAAAUUCGUAGAUAUUGGGAAGAACACCAGUGGCGAAGGCGGCUAUCUGGACCGGUACUGACGCUGAGGCGGACGAAAGCGUGGGGAGCAAACAGG
rnacentral:rRNA from 1 species